rnacentral:rRNA from 1 species
UUAGAUACCCUAUUAUUCUAGAAUAUCCUUUCUAAGGUAGUAGUUGUUAUAAGCUUGAAACCUAAAGAAUUUGGCGGUGUCAAGUUAAAUCAGAGGAACCUGUUAGGUAAUAGAUAAUCCACUUUAUUUCUUUCUUUAAACCAGCUUGUAUACCGUCAUCUAAAAUAAUUUUUUAAAAAAUUAUUUAUUUGAUUCUCAUUCCUGCACACAUAAGUUAGAUCAAGGUGCAGCUUUUUAAAGAUCUAAAUGGGUUACAAUUCAAAUCAGAUUUGAAUUUAUUUUUUUAAAACAAACAAAAGUGGAUUUGAAAGUAAUUUUAGUUUAACAAGCUAUUAUGAGUCUCCCCUAAGACAUGCACACAUCGCCG